rnacentral:sRNA from 1 species
AGGGCUGCCAGCGUAUCGUAGAGGACUGGCAGAAAAUCCUUAUGGUGCGGUCCCUUGUGGUCAGCCCUCACGAAGACAUGAGAACCUGGCUCAAGUAUGCAAGCCUGUGCGGCAAGAGUGGCAGGCUGGCUCUUGCUCAUAAAACCUUAGUGUUGCUCCUGGGAGUUGAUCCAUCUCGGCAACUUGACCAUCCUCUGCCAACAGUUCACCCUCAGGUGACCUAUGCCUACAUGAAAAACAUGUGGAAGAGUGCCCGCAAGGUCUGUAUCCCAGCGCAUCCAGAACAGACCACCUUCUCCAGAAUGCUCACCUAAUCUGCUUCUCUCUGCCUCUUUAAGGCCAGAAAAGAAACAGUGUUUAAACCACCUACUCACAAUGUCAGAGAGUCUCUUCCUGUUAUGAAGCUGUUUGGCCUGAUUUCAUAAAGUGAAUCAUAGUUGAGGAGAUGGCGUGUAGAUGAAACCAAUGAAUGUGACCACAGUUAUAUGUAUUCGUAUCUAGAAAGUGCUGGGACAUAGAAAGGGCACACUUUCUACCCCUAAGAGAAGAUGGGCUGUUUGGUACAAAAAAGAGCAGAUUUGUAAAUACACAGACUAGAACUUU